rnacentral:rRNA from 1 species
AACGAACGCUGGCGGCAGGCCUAACACAUGCAAGUCGAGCGAACCCUUCGGGGUUAGCGGCGGACGGGUUAGUAACGCGUGGGAAUAUACCCUUUGGUACGGAAUAGCCUCGGGAGACUGAGAGUAAUACCGUAUGUGCCCUUCGGGGGAAAGAUUUAUCGCCAAAGGAUUAGCCCGCGUUGGAUUAGAUAGUUGGUGGGGUAAUGGCCUACCAAGUCUACGAUCCAUAGCUGGUUUGAGAGGAUGAUCAGCAACACUGGGACUGAGACACGGCCCAGACUCCUACGGGAGGCAGCAGUGGGGAAUCUUAGACAAUGGGCGCAAGCCUGAUCUAGCCAUGCCGCGUGGACGAUGAAGGCCUUAGGGUUGUAAAGUCCUUUCAGAUGGGAAGAUAAUGACGGUACCAUCAGAAGAAGCCCCGGCUAACUCCGUG